rnacentral:rRNA from 1 species
UACGUAGGGUGCAAGCGUUGUCCGGAAUUAUUGGGCGUAAAGAGCUCGUAGGCGGUUUGGCGCGUCUGCUGUGAAAACUCAGGGCUUAACCCUGAGCCUGCAGUGGGUACGGGCAGACUAGAGUGUGGUAGGGGAGAUCGGAAUUCCUGGUGUAGCGGUGGAAUGCGCAGAUAUCAGGAGGAACACCGGUGGCGAAGGCGGAUCUCUGGGCCAUAACUGACGCUGAGGAGCGAAAGCGUGGGGAGCAAACAGG